AUUAAAUAUAUGGAUAUAUUUUGGUUUUUACAGGGGUAUAGAUUUGUUGUCUCUUUUAUAUAAAAUAAAAGGUACAGAAAAUAUGCACUUUAAAUAGGCACUUUGUUUUUAAAAUAAUGCUUUAAAUAGGCAUUGCAUUAUAGAGAUAUCAAUAGACAUUUAAUGUGCACAUUUUAAUAGUUUGGUUUUCUACUAAUAAUAUUGUAUGUAUGCACAUACUUGUAAUAGGUAC